GUUGGCGUAGUACGAUUUUUUGGUGUUCCUGUCUCUCCAGAUAACAAAUACCCAUCGGACUCAAUAAUUAUCCAACAAAGAAGAGAACUGUGGUUAGCUAGAUUAAACAUCAGUGAUGCUAACAUCAAAACAAAAUACUUAGUGUGUAAUCGUCAUUUUAUAUCUGGAAAACCAAGCUACUAUUUACAUAAAAAUCAUCCAGAUUGGGCUCCUUCAUUAUCAUUGAUCAAAGCUAUCACAUAUAGCACUCGUUUACAGAGAAGAGUGCUGUAUAGCUACAACAGAGAGGCUAUGGUUAUGCACACUUUAGCAAACUAUACACAACAUAAAAAGGAAGAUAAUAUCAACAUUACGAUAUACACAGUCUUCAUCCCUUUGAGGUUAGUGAAAAUCUGAAUUCAAGUGAAGUUCUACUUACUGAAGAACUUCGAGAUUCUCCAAUGGACCUGUCAACAUCAAAACAGUCCCACAUCCUGGUCGACGAAGAACCGUCACCAAGUGAACACUCACCACAAUUGGUGAGUGACUUACAAAAUCAAAUCUAAAAGUUAACAGCGCAACUUGAAAAAAUGAAUGCAGACUACAUCUCACUCAAGAAAGAAUUUGCUAUGUAUCUUGAAAGGCCAAUAACAU